rnacentral:sRNA from 1 species
CAAGGCUGGAACUCAGAAAAAUGUUUUAUGACAAGCUGUGGAAUUUUAAGUUCUAGUAAUCUCCAGUGCUAUUGUUUCUCUAGGUUUCGGUGGACCGGGUCUUAAAGACCCUGAAAGAAAAUGCUAAUAAAGCCAAAAGCUUACUGCUCACUACCAUACCUCAGAUAGGGUCCACAGAAUGGUCAGAAACCCUCCAUAACCUGAAGAAUAUGGCCCAGUUUUCUGUUUUAUUACCAAGACAUUAAAGUAGCAUGGCUGCCCAGGAGAAAAGAAGACAUUCUAAUUCCAGUCAUUUUGGGAAUUCCUGCUUAACUUGAAAAAAA